rnacentral:rRNA from 1 species
CGGGACACGUGGUAUCCUGUCUGAAUAUGGGGGGACCAUCCUCCAAGGCUAAAUACUCCUGACUGACCGAUAGUGAACCAGUACCGUGAGGGAAAGGCGAAAAGAACCCCGGCGAGGGGAGUGAAAAAGAACCUGAAACCGUGUACGUACAAGCAGUGGGAGCCUCUUUAUGGGGUGACUGCGUACCUUUUGUAUAAUGGGUCAGCGACUUAUAUUCUGUAGCAAGGUUAACCGAAUAGGGGAGCCGAAGGGAAACCGAGUCUUAACUGGGCGUUAAGUUGCAGGGUAUAGACCCGAAACCCGGUGAUCUAGCCAUGGGCAGGUUGAAGGUUGGGUAACACUAACUGGAGGACCGAACCGACUAAUGUUGAAAAAUUAGCGGAUGACUUGUGGCUGGGGGUGAAAGGCCAAUCAAACCGGGAGAUAGCUGGUUCUCCCCGAAAGCUAUUUAGGUAGCGCCUCGUGAAUUCAUCUCCGGGGGUAGAGCACUGUUUCGGCAAGGGGGUCAUCCCGACUUACCAACCCGAUGCAAACUGCGAAUACCGGAGAAUGUUAUCACGGGAGACACACGGCGGGUGCUAACGUCCGUCGUGAAGAGGGAAACAACCCAGACCGCCAGCUAAGGUCCCAAAGUCAUGGUUAAGUGGGAAACGAUGUGGGAAGGCCCAGACAGCCAGGAUGUUGGCUUAGAAGCAGCCAUCAUUUAAAGAAAGCGUAAUAGCUCACUGGUCGAGUCGGCCUGCGCGGAAGAUGUAACGGGGCUAAACCAUGCACCGAAGCUGCGGCAGCGACGCUUAUGCGUUGUUGGGUAGGGGAGCGUUCUGUAAGCCUGCGAAGGUGUGCUGUGAGGCAUGCUGGAGGUAUCAGAAGUGCGAAUGCUGACAUAAGUAACGAUAAAGCGGGUGAAAAGCCCGCUCGCCGGAAGACCAAGGGUUCCUGUCCAACGUUAAUCGGGGCAGGGUGAGUCGACCCCUAAGGCGAGGCCGAAAGGCGUAGUCGAUGGGAAACAGGUUAAUAUUCCUGUACUUGGUGUUACUGCGAAGGGGGGACGGAGAAGGCUAUGUUGGCCGGGCGACGGUUGUCCCGGUUUAAGCGUGUAGGCUGGUUUUCCAGGCAAAUCCGGAAAAUCAAGGCUGAGGCGUGAUGACGAGGCACUACGGUGCUGAAGCAACAAAUGCCCUGCUUCCAGGAAAAGCCUCUAAGCAUCAGGUAACAUCAAAUCGUACCCCAAACCGACACAGGUGGUCAGGUAGAGAAUACCAAGGCGCUUGAGAGAACUCGGGUGAAGGAACUAGGCAAAAUGGUGCCGUAACUUCGGGAGAAGGCACGCUGAUA